UGUGUGUGUGUGUGUGUGUGUGUGUGUGUGUGUGUGUGUGUGUAUCACAAGGGUCCUUGGAUGCUGAAAUCCACACUUCGCACCC
rnacentral:miRNA from 1 species